rnacentral:rRNA from 1 species
GAUGAACGCUGGCGGCGUGCAUAACACAUUCAAGUCGAACGGAGUUAUUUGAAUUAAUCCUUCGGGAAGCGUCCAGAUAACUUAGUGGCGGACGGGUGAGUAACGCGUGAGCAACCUGCCUCUGUAUGAGGGAUAACGUCGGGAAACUGACGCUAAUACCUCAUGACACAUAGAGACCGCAUGAUCUUUAUGUCAAAGAUUUAUUGUACAGAGAUGGGCUCGCGUCCGAUUAGAUAGUUGGUAAGGUAACGGCGUUACCAAGUCUGCGAUCGGUAGCCGGACUGAGAGGUUGAACGGCCGACAUUGGGACUGA